GGGGCGUAGCUCAGUUGGUAGAGCGCCUGCUUUGCAAGCAGGAUGCCGCCGGUUCGAGUCCGGCCGUCUCC
rnacentral:tRNA from 1 species